AGGUGGGAGCUCUACGAGCGGCGAAGCCGCGGAGGAAGCCGGUGCGAAUCCGGCGCGGUCCCGCCACUGUGACCGGGUUCUGUGCCCGGAAGUCAGGAACUCCGUUCGCCGUGAUCCCAAC
rnacentral:ncRNA from 2 species